ACGCUCGACACCUACGAGGCAGCAGUGGGGAAUAUUGCACAAUGGGGGAAACCCUGAUGCAGCGACGCCGCGUGGAGGAAGAAGGUCUUCGGAUUGUAAACUCCUGUUGUUGGGGAAAAAGAGGAUGGUACCCAACAAGGAAGUGACGGCUAACUACGUGCCAACAGCCGCCGGUAAGUACUGAGCGGGCGUGGCGAAGGACG
rnacentral:rRNA from 1 species